rnacentral:rRNA from 1 species
UGGCGGCGUGCUUAACACAUGCAAGUCGAACGGAAAGGCCCUGCUUUUGGGGGGUGCUCGAGUGGCGAACGGGUGAGUAACACGUGAGUAACCUGCCCUUGACUUUGGGAUAACUUCAGGAAACUGGGGCUAAUACCGGAUAGGAGCUCCUGCUGCAUGGUGGGGGUUGGAAAGUUUCGGCGGUUGGGGAUGGACUCGCGGCUUAUCAGCUUGUUGGUGGGGUAGUGGCUUACCAAGGCUUUGACGGGUAGCCGGCCUGAGAGGGUGACCGGCCACAUUGGGACUGAGAUACGGCCCAGACUCCUACGGGAGGCAGCAGUGGGGAAUAUUGCACAAUGGGCGGAAGCCUGAUGCAGCAACGCCGCGUGCGGGAUGACGGCCUUCGGGUUGUAAACCGCUUUCGCCUGUGACGAAGCGUGAGUGACGGUAAUGGGUAAAGAAGCACCGGCUAACUACGUGCCAGCAGCCGCGGUGAUACGUAGGGUGCGAGCGUUGUCCGGAUUUAUUGGGCGUAAAGGGCUCGUAGGUGGUUGAUCGCGUCGGAAGUGUAAUCUUGGGGCUUAACCCUGAGCGUGCUUUCGAUACGGGUUGACUUGAGGAAGGUAGGGGAGAAUGGAAUUCCUGGUGGAGCGGUGGAAUGCGCAGAUAUCAGGAGGAACACCAGUGGCGAAGGCGGUUCUCUGGGCCUUUCCUGACGCUGAGGAGCGAAAGCGUGGGGAGCGAACAGGCUUAGAUACCCUGGUAGUCCACGCUGUAAACGGUGGGUACUAGGUGUGGGGUCCAUUCCACGGGUUCCGUGCCGUAGCUAACGCUUUAAGUACCCCGCCUGGGGAGUACGGCCGCAAGGCUAAAACUCAAAGGAAUUGACGGGGCCCCGCACAAGCGGCGGAGCAUGCGGAUUAAUUCGAUGCAACGCGUAGAACCUUACCUGGGUUUGACAUGGAUCGGGAGUGCUCAGAGAUGGGUGUGCCUCUUUUGGGGUCGGUUCACAGGUGGUGCAUGGCUGUCGUCAGCUCGUGUCGUGAGAUGUUGGGCUAAGUCCCGCAACGAGCGCAACCCUCGUUCACUGUUGCCAGCACGUUAUGGUGGGGACUCAGUGGAGACCGCCGGGGUCAACUCGGAGGAAGGUGGGGAUGACGUCAAGUCAUCAUGCCCCUUAUGUCCAGGGCUUCACGCAUGCUACAAUGGCUGGUACAGAGAGUGGCGAGCCUGUGAGGGUGAGCGAAUCUCGGAAAGCCGGUCUCAGUUCGGAUUGGGGUCUGCAACUCGACCUCAUGAAGUCGGAGUCGCUAGUAAUCGCAGAUCAGCAACGCUGCGGUGAAUACGUUCCCGGGGCUUGUACACACCGCCCGUCAAGUCAUGAAAGUUGGUAACACCCGAAGCCGGUGGCCUAACCGUUGUGGGGGAGCCGUCGAAGGUGGGACUGGUGAUUAGGACUAAGUCAUA